ensembl:lncRNA
UGCAUGUAUUUAAAGGUGCAAUAUGUUAUAUGUUCAAUUUUUUAAAUUACAAAAAAAGUAAAUAAUGAAUACAUAUGUGUUAAUUAUUUGCCAGAUCAUCCUAAAGGCCAGUCUAAUGAUUCUCUGGAGGAGGAAAGGCUCAUCUUGGUAGAGGAAAUGAAGAAGAAAACCAAGAAUGAACUGCUCAUCAAUCAAAAAAUGAGCUUGACUUUCUCCCUCUGACGAAAGGAGAUUGUGGAAGUAGUGCCACUGGUAUCUGAAGUGCUGGAACGAUGGCCUGCCCUGUUUCUUCCAAAUGAGGUAAAAUAAAGAAGGUUGAAGUGGAAUUAAUUGGCUGUAGAUGAUCUUUAAUACAUGUUAUUGUUCUGUUGCUUGUAAAUGUCUGUUGUAAGCCAUUUGAAGCCAGUUAGACAAUGUUACAACCAAGACCUGUUUUAUUUCUAUCAACAGUUAUGUAAUGAGUUCAAAUGCAUCACCAGUGUGGACCUCCUUGAGACAUUCAGAGCAUCAAUACACUAGCACACUCCACAACUCCUCAAGCUAUACAGAGCAAGAAAGGGGGCAUUUGGAACAGAAAUGGAAGAUCUUCUCAACAAUCUUGAUCAGCAGGUAACUUGUUAAUGUCAAAGUUACCAAUAGAUAGAUGGUUUUAAAAAUAGAUUUAUCAGAGCCAUUUGCUAUUUUAUUUUCUAUAAAGAACAUUUUCGGAAGAUAUUUUUGAAGGAUUAUGACAAUGUAUGUCAAGUGUUCACUAGCUGAUUAGAACGAUUUUGGUUCUGAACUUACUGCAUACAAUACUGAUUUCCUAUUUAAGCCAUCUAAUUUGAUUAAUUGGCUCUUAAGCAGAGGCUCUAUGACUUCAAACAUACAUGCAAACUCGUGACAAAAUUGAAUUAAUAACAGUGCAUUACAAUAUUUUUGUUUUUGUUUUGUACCCAUUUUUUUUAGACCACAAAUAUAUCACAGAAAACAAACCAUCCUGGAAGGUCGCCCCAUUUUUCGCCGUGAAGAUUCCUCUGCACUUUUUAAAACAUGCCUGGACAAGACUCCAGAGGACAGACAGACCAGAGGGAUGAAGGUGGGAAUCCUUAUUGUAAUUGAAGAUGAUAUAUAUAUAAUGGAUUUUUAUUUUUAUAAUGUCCUGAAAAUUGCCCAAUUUGGGCGUUUUAAAAGUCAAAAUCAUGAAUUGUGAAACAAAGGUUCCUCCAUAAUCCAUUCUUCUUGUUCAGAUCCUCUGCUUACAAAAAAAAAAGUUAUAUUCCACGCUUGUGGCAUGGAGUGAUAGAAUGGAGUCAAAUUGCUCAAGUCCAGUUCAUUUAUUCUAAUUAAAAACGAUUGCUUAUCAUAUCCAAGACAUGAUGUCCUUCUCAGCAAUACACAUCCCACAUUACUCCACUCGAUCUCCUCUACAUCCUCUAUUUAAAGCUUGAAGACAAAAGAUAUUGAUUUGAUUUCCAAUGUCUACAAGACCUUGUCUUCCUUCUUGAAUUGACAAAUACAAAGCAGGCCCAGGAAUCCAGUGCUGGCCUGACCAAAAUCAAUUCCCCAGGUGGUUCUUGUACCUUUAGCCUGUACCAUAGCAUAGAUGCAGCCAAAUUAUUUAUGACCAGGAGUCUAAUCCUACAGUUCAGGUAAUAGCCAUUUCCAUUUGGACAACUUGGCUGACACCUUAUCCAGCAUCACUUCCUUUUUUUUUUAUAAUUCACUGGACCCUAGAAAACUCGUAAUAUUUUAAUACCUUCUCUUCCCCACUUCAAUCCUCCUGGAAUGUGAGGCAUCACACCAUUCAUCCAAUAACCCAUAAUAAAGCCCUCACAUUUUCCCCAGUUUACCUUUGCAGAAGAAGCUUUUUUUUAAAUAAGGUUCUUACUGAGUGCUUGAAUAUUUUCUUGGCCAGUUACAAAAACAAUUAUGUCAUUUGUAUAUACAGUACAUUCAACCAGUAUAUUACUUGCAAAUGAAUGCCUUCACAAUAAGAACCGUUUCAGCCACUGUGUUUAUAAAAUAAAGAAUUUUAAGAUAGUUGUACUGGAAUUGAAAAUGAAAAACUCAUCUUUAUAAUGUACUGAACAAAAAUCAUUUCCAAAUCAUUCAAAUCUCCGU